rnacentral:rRNA from 1 species
CGAGUCGAGAGGGUUCGGCCCUCGGCUGACGGUUCACUAACACGUGGAUAAUCUGCCCUAAGGUGGAGGAUAACCUCGGGAAACUGAGAAUAAUACUCCAUAAGUCUAGGAUGCUGGAAUGCACUUAGGCUGAAAACUUCGGUGCCUUAGGAUGAGUCUGCGGACUAUCAGGUUGUAGUCAGGGUAAGGACCUGACUAGCCUACGACGGAUACGGGUUGUGAGAGCAAUAACCCGGAGAUGAUAUCUGAGACACGAUAUCAGGCCCUACGGGGCGCAGCAGGCGCGAAAACUUCACACUGCGCGGAAGCGCGAUGAGGGAAUCCCAAGUGUAUGCACGUAAGUGUAUACUGUUUCUUUGUCUAAAAAGCAGAGAGAGUAAGAGCUGGGUAAGACGGGUGCCAGCCGCCGCGGUAAUACCUGCAGCUCGAGUGGUGAUCGUUAUUAUUGGGCCUAAAACGUCCGUAGCCGGUCUUGUAAAUGCCUGGGUAAAUCGUAUGGCUUAACCAUACGAA